rnacentral:rRNA from 1 species
UGGGGAAUAUUGCACAAUGGGGGAAACCCUGAUGCAGCGACGCCGCGUGAACGAAGAAGGUAUUCGUAUCGUAAAGUUCUGUCCUAUGGGAAGAUAAUGACAGUACCAUAGAAGAAAGCUCCGGCUCAAUACGUGCCAGCAGCCGCGGUAAUACGUAUGGAGCGAGCGUUGUCCGGAAUUAUUGGGCGGAAAGGGUACGCAGGCGGUUUAAUAAGUCGAAUGUUAAAGAUCGGGGCUCAACCCCGUAAAGCAUUGGAAACUGAUAAACUUGAGUAGUGGAGAGGAAAGUGGAAUUCCUAGUGUAGUGGUGAAAUACGUAGAUAUUAGGAGGAAUACCAGUAGCGAAGGCGACUUUCUGGACACAAACUGACGCUGAGGUACGAAAGCGUGGGGAGCAAACAGG